UUUCUUUAAAGAUUCUGAGAAGCUUCUCAAUGAUAUCACCAGAGCUCUAGAUCAGCAAAGCGUUCAUUUCAAAAAGAUUGAUGCUCAUGUUCACCAGUUCAAGGGUAGCAGCGCCAGCGUGGGUGCUCAGAGAGUCAAAAAUGCCUGUGUUGCUUUCCGCAACUUCUGUGAGGAACAGAACGCUGAAGGGUGAGUUAUUAUACUCUUACCUUUUUCUUUUUCUUUAUCAGCAAUUGAAUCUGAA